UUGGGUGUAUGUCAUUAAGCCAAGCUGCUGGUUUCUGGGAGUAACAGGAGUUGGGAACUCAAGGAAGUCUCCCAAUUUUAAAAAUCUUAAGGAGAAAAAAAAAGUUGAAGCUCUUGUUCAUGCAGUCUAUUCAGAGGCAAUAUGAUGAACUUUUAAGUCAGCUUGGGAGUUAAGAGUUCCAGGUUCUAAUCUGAGAAUUUCAAGGUCAUUUACUCUCCCACCCCUUCAUUUUACAGAUUUGGAAACUCAGUCCCAGGGAGUUUAAAUGACUAACCCCAAAUCAUUCAGGUGAUACAUGGCAGAACCAAGAUUUGAAUUAAAGUGGUCUGAUUCUAAAUUCAGCUUUCUUUCCCCUGUGAUCUGUAAGGUCCCUUACAACUUAGCAUUCUGAUCAUUUUUCAUUCAUUUAUUGAAAGACAUGUUUUUAUUCUAGGACUUUGUCAGUCCUCCUUAAAUCUCAAUCAACAAAACAAGGAGUUGUCCUUGCUUUCCACACUUAUCCCUAAUGCUGCUUGUUGCUCUUCAGGGGAUUUCUCUUUCCCCUCAAGGACAGACCUUUUAUUUUAAUUUCAUUUCUAUAAAAAGUGUUCUGGGGGUAGGGACCAUAGAUGUGAUGGGAGUACAGUGUAAUUUGCCCCAGUCUCUGUCCUUAGGCUGGCCUGAAUCCUUGGCGUUGCCCUAGGAAUGAAAGGGGGAGGAAGAGAAAGACAGAUACAUACAGAGGAAGAGACAGAGACAAAGGAAGGGACAGAGAAAUUGAGAGGGGGGGGGGAGGUAGACACAGAGACAGACAGAGGUAGACACAGAGACAGACAGAGAGACACAGAGACAGACAGAGGUAGACACAGAGACAGACAGAGGUAGACACAGAGACAGACAGAGGUAGACACAGAGACAGACAGAGGUAGACACAGAGACAGACAGAGAGACACAGAGACAGACAGAGAGACACAGAGACAGACACAGAAAGACACAGAGACAGACACAGAAAGACACAGAGACAGAGUUUGUAAGUAUUUGUGGCUUGACUGAGUUGGUUUUACAUAUUGGUGAGUUGUGUAUAUUUGUGAAACAGUGGGCACGAGACUUCAUUUGUGGGAGAGAGUGUUUCUAGGCAAAUGUGUUUGCUUGUGUGUGUGUAUUUCUGUGUGAGUGUGUGUGACCACGAACAUGUGAGUGUGUUCCUGAAAGAGUCUGCAUGUGUCCUUAUCUCUCUCUCUUGUUCAAAUGUUUGUUUCUUUUCUCUGAUGUUUAUUUUGGAAGAUCUCAGUCCAGCCCUCCCAGAACUCUGCUGCUGAGCUGGCUCUGCUCCCAGUGGCUGGUGCCCUCACUCCUCAGCAGCCUGAUCUCAGCUCAGGAUUGGAGUAGGAUUGUAGCACAGGGCAGAGAGGUGACAAAUCUCACUUAUUGCCCUCCAAACCAUGAAUGUUAGUAUAGGAUUUUUUUAAAACCCUGAUAACAUCUCCCUCUCUAACCCUCCAUCCCCCUCAGUCUGACAAUUCAGUCCUCCAUUCCAGAUCUGAGGGUGUGAUAAAAAACAAGCAGUUAUUCAGCUGACGUGUCCCCAUUUAUUAACCAGAGUUCCACCCCUUCCAACACCUUUAAACAAAACUGGAGAUCCAGGUGAGUUGGUUGAGGGAUGAACCAAUACUGAUUCUUCUUUUAAGCUUCUUCAAGAUUCCAAAUGGAAUUCCACAGGAUUUGGACCCCUGGA